AUGAUUCCCAUCAGUGUGCAAAAGACUGCGCUGUGUGAGGAAAUGAAUGAUAUACACGAAAAGAAGGGACAUGUCAACGUGCUGCAGUUUUCUUCACACGCACGCUUCUCCAACCAGCUUAUGGACAACAGAAGCACUUUUGGAUGCAUGGAUGUGAACAGUAGGCUUUAUAAUUGCCUUACAGGUAACCACGCCACAGCCAGUUUGCCUGUAAGUUGUAAUGGAGGAGAGCAGAGCACGAUGAACGUCAUCGGGACAGACAGCGCGACCCAGAUUGGACAUUCUGUGAAUGUGCAAAGAACCUCUCAAGUGCAGAAUAAUUACAUGCAUCCUAAGCACAGCAGUAUAAAUGUCCAUAACAUACCUUCAUCCUCUGGAAGACAUUUCAUUACAGUACAGGAAGGUAGCCUUGGUUCAAGACCAGAAGCCUUUAACCAAAUGAACCAGGCACCCAGUAUGCAUGUUCAAGAGUGCAGACGUGACUCUUCGAAGCCAGCUAACCUGCAGAAGUCUGUUAAUCUUUUACAGCCAAAAGCUGUGGCGGUCGUCAUGCCACUCACACAGAGCAUGGCCCGCAUAGAUCAGCAGACUGCCCUGAAUAAAGCAGCUUCCUUUAUUCAUGCUCCAUCAGGAGUCACUCCACCCAGCGCUGAAAGUAGUGUGGCACAUGCCAAGACGUCUUUUUUUGCGACCAGAGCUACACCGUGCUCCAGCGUGGAGUUGCCUGAUCGCAGUCCCACAGCGUGUGAGUUACAGAAAUCCACAUCAGCGCCUUCUAUUCUGGAAGGAAGGAGCAGAGAAAGUCUUUUUUUAGUGCCACCUGGUCCUGGAAUGAAAGAUGGACAAUUGCGGGCCAGCCAGCCAAAAGACACUUUUGAUACAUUUGGACAAGAAGCAGAUAAAUGGUGUGGUCAGAGGACUACAACUUGGACUCUGCAAAGUUUGCGUCAGUUAAUAGACAGCUAUAAAAACACAGAAUCGAAUAUUAACGGAGCUGCCAAAGUCAUACAUCUGUACUGGGAUGGCAGUAGUCAAAAUAUGGCAAACGCUAUCAAAUCGGAUUAUAUGAAAAUAAUGAAAGAAACCUUUGAAGUGUUAUUAUCACAUAAAAGCUCGGUAAUUCUAACGCAGCUGCAUUACGAAAGCCAGAGCGAAACUGAUAAAAGGUUUCUCAUUUUAGAGCCUGACUCACUCGUGCCGUUAUCAGAAUAUACGUCGUCGUGGUUAAACCUCAACGACCAACUGGACGAUAUAGAUAAAGAUCAAGGGCACUCAUGGUCAUUGCGGGUUUCAAAUAAGCAAGUGACCGAGCAGAUGACUCUGUAUGGAGGAGGAGGAGGAGGAGAAACGCAGACGUCUGCAGCGGGGAUGCAGAGUAGAGCGCCCCCCGUCUCGCCUGACGGAGAGACUGCAGCACGCGCACCGGACACGCCCGAGAAGUCCCCGCGACAGACUACCUCCACCGACCCUGACAGCCAUGAGAGCGACGGCGGGGAGCAGUCAAUAAAAAUUCAGGUCCUUUCACCGGACACUGCUAAAAGAUUUUUUUACUCAGAUUUCUCCGGAAGUGUCGGUCUGGAGAAGGGGAUGAAAAAUGGGCCUGUCGAGAUUAGCACAGGGGAGACCGUUGGAGGGCUGAAGCAAAGCAAACCCAUGAAGAGAGAGCCACACAUGGCCGACGGCCGUGGACAUGCAGAGUCGUAUCGGCAGCUCGAACGAUAUUGUUGUUUAGCCAAGUUUGUUACAGAAGUAGCGCGUCGGGACACUCGUUUCUCAUUCUGUAGAUGUAGGGAAGAAAAGUUCAGUAUUAACAUGAACGUCACCACUGAAGAUGCGAGGACGAUCACACCUGGAGAAUCUCGACCGUCUUCAACUCCUCACGCAGCCUCGGGGGACAGUAAAAGAAGAUCUGCUAGAAUCAAGAAGGACAAAUGUGGGACGCCCGCUUUGCCGAAACCUCGACAAAUCAGGAUUCCAGAUGCCCCCACUUCUGCAACUCAAGCCUGUAGCUAUUCACGAAAACCGCCUGCUCAGCUGCGAAAAACACGUAAAGGACGUUGGAACAAAGGACCGAUACCUGUACGGACCAAAGGGUCCGAAGCAGAAUCAAUCGUUUGUGGGACGGAGGCUGACCGUAAGGACUCCGCGAAUGGUGAUCCUCUACGGUUGGCCUUAUACGGCUCUCAAAGUGAAAAAAUGAGAAGCAAGGACGAGUCGUACAAUUUGCGAAAAAUCACAUGGUCCCCUCCUCUAACGGUCCACGUCUGUUCCAGACCCGAAAGAGACGCGAACAAAUAUGUGUUGAGACGGCUGAAGAGCAGCAGUGUUCCCUCCAAUACUAAAGUCAGAAAGGUGACUCUUAAAUCCGAACAUAAAAAGGUUAAAGGGCCUGCGACUCCGCCGCCGCGGCAUGAAGAUGCAGGAAAGCUGAGGAACACGAGAGCAAUGAAGCGCAAAAGGGACUCCUCGACCUCUUCGCGGCGCAUUGGACUGAGGAAGAGAAGAUCUCCGUGGAACCCGGGGGACGCUACGACUAAAAGCAAAUAUGAACUGGGGAACCCAGCAGUGACACCAGUCCCAAGUGAUCUAGUGUUGAAGUUCAAGGUGCUUCCAGAGACAUUCCACUUUGCAGACCCUGAUGAGCAUCAUCCCGAAGCUGAAAAACCCUCAUCUGUGAAGGGUGGGUGUUGA
ensembl:lncRNA